rnacentral:lncRNA from 1 species
GUUUUUUUAAUCUACUUCCAUAUGUUUUGUGGUUGACAAGUAGUAAUCAUAUGUAUUUGUGGGGUACAUUGUGAUAUAUCUAUACAUGGUAGGAUGAUUCAAUCAGGAUCAUUAACAUGGUCAUUAUCUCAAAUACCUGUCCUUUAUAUAUGGGCAGGAUAUUUAAUGUCUCCCUUUUUAGGAAUUUUCAAGUAUGCAACACAUUAUUGUUCACAAUAGGAACCAUGUUCUGCACUAGGACCAUCACUACUUACUUCUCCUGUCUACCUAAAACUUUGGAUCUUUAACUAAUAAUUGUCAUUCCCCAUUCACUCACAAGUUCUCACAAGUCACCCCAUCCCAAGUUCUGAUAACAAUUAUUUAUCACUACUCUAAAAGCAUGACUUUUUAAUAUUCACAUAAAAAUAAAACCAUGUGGAUUGAUCUUGUUCUGCCUGACUUAUUGCACUUCCUAUGAUUACCCCCCAGGUUUUUGUCAUUUUUACAGUGAUGCCAUAGUAAAAUCUUACAACAGUGUUAAAAUACAGAAUGGCUAAUGCAAGCGUUACAGUACAUGAAUAGGAAGCAUGGAUUUGUGGAAACUCUCUCUAAUGGGGGUUGGAUGGUCACUGGAUUUCAAAGAAAUAGAAUGGUGAGAAGCAGGUCAGAGAAGACAUGCCUGACAGAGAAGGAGAUGGAGCAUGCCCCAAAGAGAAGAUUCCAGAUGAUAGCACAGCAGCAGCCAAACAGACUGCUC